UCUGAUAACUGAACUUUUCAUGUCAAUACUAUUGAUUGGUAUACUUUUCUAGGGAGGAAACCACAUUUAUGCAAGAGGUUUAUCAGUUCAUCAUAUAUUUAUGUACAUCACAGUAAGUGCUCUUUAGAUUACUCUUCUCCUUAUUUAUGUUCAGUAGUCUUAUCUGAAGUACAUAAAUAGGAAGGAGUGGAGUGGAAUCUACUUGCCACCUUUACCUUUCUUAACAAGUAAAUUAUGUUCUCAAUUUAUUUUUUCUCUUCAGGAGCUUGUUGAUAAGUCAUCGCAACAAUUUCUGAGUCUAGAUAACAAUCUUUCACUUUCUCUACUUUGCGUACAUCAUACCCCUAUUACCACAUAUAGGAAUAACUUCCUUUAUACAAGCACAACCUUGUAUAGAAUAAUAAGAUCAAGAUAAGUUUUUUCUCCAUAAUGUUCUUUACUAUUGUGGUCCAAAUGUUUGGAUUAUCUAUGGAUUCUUUCACAGGAAGGGCUCUAUCAAGGACCUUUCUUUCUCCACUAACUAAUUUCUGUCAAAACAUGACAUGCAUUGGAAUAAUUCCUUAUGAACUAAUGGGAAAGAAAUUUACUUUGCUGGUCUUUUGGUUAUGUCACGUUACAUCAUUGUGGAAUCCAUCUUUUUAUAUAAGUUUACAUUUCUUGCAGUAUUGGAUCUGCAGCCAACAGACUUUUUUUCAAAAGGUUGCAGAUUUGGCUCUGCCUCCUGCUCUAUGUGCCUAAUGGGAAAUCUUUAGUUCUAUCCAGACUGAAUCAACUCCAUCAGCUAAGGUCGUCCAUGCAGAUCAUAUUGCUGCUUGUCAUAAUGGUUGCUCUGCUGAUGAUUACUGAUAAAAUUGGCACCAUUAAAUCACUAUUUUUUUCUUCUAUUACAAGCUGAACAUCUUUUCAUUUUAUCCCAGCAAAACAGUGAAAGAUGUUCUAACCUAUCAAUAGCUGAAUCAAACACAUGGCUUGUACGGGUCCUCAAUUCUUUAAUCAAUGGCUAUGAUGUUUAUACCUUUUGCAUGGCAAGAUCACUGCUCCCUUUUUCUAUAUCAAAAAGAAAGUUCUUUUUACUUAUGUUUGCUUUUCUUUUUUAGUCUGCUACGUUGGAAUUGCUGAGAUGAUGUUCCCCGUGCCAGGACGGAGGAGUAACACCAUCAAGGCUCGAGGUUUGCUGGUACAUGUAUAAAUUUAUGUUUCAAUUUGUGUUAAUUUUGGUCAAGAGUAGGUAGCAUUUAUGAAUCUGUGUAUUUUACCUGCAAUGCCUCACCUAUAAGUAGUGAAUCCAUUUGCUAACAUCAAGUCUCUCUCAUAAGCCCUACAAUCCCUUAGUUAUUCCUUGCUCCUUUAGAUGUACAAUUUGCUUGAUGAUGAAGCCAAGAUAGCACCAAGUUGGCGCAGAUCCACACCUAUCUCAUGAAAGUUACUAUGGAAGAUUCAAUAUCAAUUCUUGACACCAUUUCUUAAUCAUUGCA